UACGGGAGCAGCAGUGGGAAUAUUGCACAAUGGGGGAAGCCCUGAUGCAGCCAUGCCGCGUGUGUGAAGAAGGCCUUCGGGUUGUAAAGCACUUUCAGUAGGGAGGAAGGUAGUGUAGUUAACACCUGCACUAUUUGACGUUACCUACAGAAGAAGCACCGGCUAACUCCGUGCCAGCAGCCGCGGUAAUACGGAGGGUGCGAGCGUUAAUCGGAAUUACGUGGGCGUAAAGCGCAUGCAGGCGGCCUGUUAAGUCAGAUGUGAAAGCCCCGGGGCUUAACCUCGGAAUUGCAUUUGAAACUGGCAGGCUAGAGUCUUGUAGAGGGGGUAGAAUUUCAGGUGUAGCGGUGAAAUGCGUAGAGAUCUGAAGGAAUACCAGUGGCGAAGGCGGCCCCCUGGACAAAGACUGACGCUCAGAUGCGAAAGCGUGGGGAGCAAACAGGAUUAGAUACCCUGGUAG
rnacentral:rRNA from 1 species